rnacentral:misc_RNA from 1 species
GAUGAAGAACGCAGCGAAAUGCGAUAAGUAAUGUGAAUUGCAGAAUUCAGUGAAUCAUCGAAUCUUUGAACGCACAUUGCGCCCCUUGGUAUUCCGAGGGGCAUGCCUGUUCGAGCGUCAUUAUAACCCCUCAAGCUCAGCUUGGUGUUGGGGCCUGCUGCACUGGCAGCCCUUAAAAUCAGUGGCGGCGCCAUCUGGCUCUAAGCGUAGUAAUUCUUCUCGCUAUGGAGUCCUGGGGGAUGCUUGCCAUCAACCCCCAAUUUUUCUAUGGUUGACCUCGGAUCAGGUAGGGAUACCCGCUGAACUUAAGCAUAUCAAUAAGCGGAGGA